rnacentral:RNase_P_RNA from 1 species
GGAGUGGGUCGGGUGAUCGCCGCGGCCGUCGUCCUGGCCGGGGAGGAAAGUCCGGACUCCGAGGGCAGUGUGCUGGCCAACCGCCAGCGAGGGUGACCUCAGGGAAAGUGCCACAGAAAACACACCGCCGAACUGCCGGGUAACCGGUGGUGGCAAGGGUGAAAAGGUGCGGUAAGAGCGCACCGCCGACCUGGUGACAGGGCGGGCAGGGUAAACCCCACACGGAGCAAGACCAAAUAGGGGGGCGUUUGAGGCUGGCCCGGCCGAAGCCCCCGGGUAGGUCGCUGGACCCCGCGGGUAACCUCGGGGCUAGAGGAAUGAUCGCCACCGUCGCUUCGAGAGGAGCGGCGGAACAGGACCCGGCUUAUAGACCCGCUCCUGCG